rnacentral:rRNA from 1 species
AUACGAAGGUCCCAAGCGUUAUUCGGAAUCACUGGGCGUAAAGAGUACGUAGGCGGUGUGGUAAGUCAGGUGUGAAAUCCCGAAGCUCAACUUCGGAACUGCAUCCGAUACUGCCAGACUAGAGUAAUGGAGAGGCAGGUGGAAUUCUCGGUGUAGCAGUGAAAUGCGUGGAUAUCGAGAGGAAGACCAAUGGAGAAGGCAGCCUGCUGGACAUUUACUGACGCUGAGGUACGAAGGCUAGGGGAGCGAAAGGGAUUAGAAACCCCUGUAGUCC